GACGAACGCUGGCGGCGUGCUUAACACAUGCAAGUCGAACGGAAAGGCCCUGCUUGCAGGGUACUCGAGUGGCGAACGGGUGAGUAACACGUGGGUGAUCUGCCCUGCACUUCGGGAUAAGCCUGGGAAACUGGGUCUAAUACCGGAUAGAAGCCAUCUUUAGUGUGAUGGUUGGAAAGUUUUUUCGGUGUGGGAUGAGCUCGCGGCCUAUCAGCUUGUUGGUGGGGUAAUGGCCUACCAAGGCGGCGACGGGUAGCCGGCCUGAGAGGGUGGACGGCCACAUUGGGACUGAGAUACGGGCCAGACUCCUACGGGAGGCAGCAGGGGGGGAUAUUGGACAAUGGGCGGAAGCCUGAUGCAGCGACGCCGCGUGGGGGAUGACGGCCUUCGGGUUGGAAACUCCUUUCGCUAGGGACGAAGCUGUUUGUGACGGUACCGAGAUAAGAAGCACCGGCUAACUACGUG
rnacentral:rRNA from 1 species